rnacentral:rRNA from 1 species
UUGAACUGAAGAGUUUGAUCCUGGCUCAGAUUGAACGCUGGCGGCAUGCCUUACACAUGCAAGUCGAACGGCAGCACGGGUGCUUGCACCUGGUGGCGAGUGGCGAACGGGUGAGUAAUACAUCGGAACAUGUCCUGUAGUGGGGGAUAGCCCGGCGAAAGCCGGAUUAAUACCGCAUACGAUCCACGGAUGAAAGCGGGGGACCUUCGGGCCUCGCGCUAUAGGGUUGGCC